UACGAGGGGUCUAAGCGUUGUUCGGAAUCACUGGGCGUAAAGCGGGUGUAGGUGGCUAUGCAAGUUGGAUGUGAAAGCCCCGGGCUCAACCCGGGAAGUGCAUCCAAAACUACGUAGCUUGAGUGCGGGAGAGAAAGGCAGAAUUCCUGGUGUAGUGGUGAAAUACGUAGAUAUCAGGAGGAACUCCGGUGGCGAAGGCGGCCUUUUGGCCCAGCACUGACACUCAGACCCGAAAGCGUGGGUAGCAAAC
rnacentral:rRNA from 1 species